rnacentral:rRNA from 1 species
CAGCAGCCGCGGGAAUACGUAGGGUGCAAGCGUUAAUCGGAAUUACUGGGCGUAAAGCGUGCGCAGGCGGUUUGUUAAGACAGAUGUGAAAUCCCCGGGCUCAACCUGGGAACUGCAUUUGUGACUGGCAAGCUAGAGUCUGGCAGAGGGGGGUGGAAUUCCGCGUGUAGCAGUGAAAUGCGUAGAUAUGCGGAGGAACACCGAUGGCGAAGGCAGCCCCCUGGCCCAACACUGACGCUCAUGCACGAAAGCGUGGGGAGCAAACAGGAUUAGAUACCCGAGUAGUCCCUGUCUCUUAUAC